rnacentral:lncRNA from 1 species
CAGCUUUUCCAAUAACUGAGUUAUCCUGACUUCUGCACAUUUAGUACGACUAUUAUAUCAGGGAGCAAGUUCGCAGAUAACAGCCUCAGCCUUAACUGUUGAGAGCUGUGUGACAAAUAUUGAACGGCAUGCGAGUUACACAUUGGAACUGUUCGUGUCACUUGUAGGAAGACGCUCAUCCCGUGAACCCUGGAUUACGGCUGCUGGGAGGGGUCACCGUCUAUCUGCUCUCUUGUCCGGACUCUCUGGGCUUGGAGACCAUUGUCAGACUGCAGUGUUUUGGCAGGAGGCCCUGCAAGCAGCGCCGUGGCCCCGUACUCACUGUAGCAACAGGAGCCCUGCUUUCAGCUGCUGUCUGUGCUUCAGGGCCACACAGGAAGGGACUCAGCAUCAAACGGAGUGUGCACCCCACAAAUUGCAGAAAUAAUAUUCUUGAUCCGAGUGUGGGUAUUUAAAAUGAGUGUCAACUGCCAACCUCUCCUGUAACCCCGCCCACUUCAAACCGGAAACUCCCCUACGUGCACCGGAACUCCUGCCCUUUCUCUGUACUGAUAAGCAGGUGCUGCCUUGUGGACUGGGUUCCUGCAUACCCUCAUUGUAAAGCAAUCCAC